AGAGACCCUAGGUCAGGCGGUAUUACCCGCUGAGUUUAAGCAUAUCAAUAAGCAAAGGAAAAAAAAAACUUGCAAGGAUUCCCUUAGUAACGACGAGCAAACUGGGAAAUGCCCAGCUUGAGAAUUGGGUGCCUACCGUGAGAGUGAGAGCCCCGUCGCGCUUGGACCCUGUCGCACCAUGAGGCACUGGUCUAUGAGUCGGUUUGUUUGGGAAUGCAGCCCAAAUCGGGCGGUAAAUUCUGUCCAAGGCUAAAUAUUCGUGAGGGACCGAUAGCAAACAAGUACAACGAGGGAAAGAUGAAAAGGAAUUUGAGAAAAGAGUGAAAGAGUACUUAAAAUUGUCGGGAGGGAAGCAGAUAGAGGGCGGCAGUGCAUCUUGGUUGGAUGUGGAACGACGCUGAGCCGGUCUGCCAAUCAACUCGAGGCGUUGACCGACGCGGAUUGGGGCGGCGUCGCAAGUCGGGGCCUUUGUUGGUAGCGCGCUCAGUCAUCAGUGCACUACAGGCAUCGGCCUGCGGGCUCCCCAUUUGGCCCUUCUUGAAACACGGACUAAGGAGUCUGACAUGUGUGCGAGUCAAUGGGUGAGAAAACCUGUGAGGCGCAAGGAAGCUAAGUGUCGGGAUCCCCUUGAGGGUUGCACCGCCGACCGUCCUUGAUAUUCUGAGAAGGGUUCGAGUAUGAGCAUGCCUGUCGGGACCCGAAAGAUGGUGAACUAUGCCUGAGCGGGACGAAGCCAGAGGAAACUCUGGUGGAGGCCCGCAGCGAUACUGACGUGCAAAUCGUUCGUUGGACUUGGGUAUAGGGGUGAAAGACUAAUCGAACCGUCUAGUAGCUGCUUCCCUCCAAAGUUUCCCUUAGGAUAGCUGGAGCCCAUGGGCAAGUUCUCUCGGGUAAAGCCAAUGAUUAGAGGCAUCAGGGGCACAACGCCCUCGACCUAUUCUCAAACUUUAAAUAGGUAGGACGGCGCAGCUGCUUUGUUGAGCCUUGCCACGGAAUCGAGAGCUCCAAGUGGGCUAUUUUUGGUAAGCAGAACUAACGAUGCGGGAUGAACCGAAAGCCGUGUUACGGUGCCCAAGUGCACACUAACCUAGAACCCACAAAGGGUGUUGGUCGAUUAAGACAGCAGAACGUUGGUCAUGGAAGUCGAAAUCCGCUAAGGAGUGUGUAACAACUCCCCUGCCGGAUCAGCUAGCCCCAAAAAGGGAUCGCGCUGAAGUGCGCAACCUAUAUCCGGCCGUCGGGCCAAGUAUCAGGCCAUGAUGAGUAGGAGGGCGCGGCAGUUGCCGCAAAACCUGGGGCGCGAGCCCGGGCAGAGGGGCCGUUGGUGCAAAUCUUGGUGGUAGUAGCAAAUAUUCAAAUGAGAACUUUGAAGACCGAAGAGGGGAAAGGUUCCAUGUAAACAACACUUGCACAUGGGUUAGUCGAUCCUAAGAGACAGGGCAAUCCCAUCUGAUAGCGCCCAGCACGGGAGCAUCGAAAGGGAAUCAGGUUAAAAUUCCUGAACCAGGAUGUGGCGGCUGACGACAAUGUUAGGGAGUCCAGAGACAUCGUCGGGGACCAAGUUAUUUUUUCUGUUUAGCAGCUUGCCCACCGUGGAAACGACUCAGCCAGAGGUAGGGUCCUGCGGCUAGAAGAGCACCACACGUCGCGCGUUGUUUGGUACGUCCUCGACGGCCCUUGAAAAUUCGGAGGACAGAGUGCCUCCCACGCCCGGUCAUGGAACAAUGUAGGUAAGGGAAGUCGGCAAAAUGGAUCCAUAACCUCGGUAAAAGGAUUGGCUCUGAGGGCUGGGCAUGGCGGUCCCCGUCUCAAAUCCGUCUGUUGUCGAUGGACUGCUCGAGCUGCUCUCUUGGCGAGAGCUGGUCGUCGCGUGCCGGCCGGGGGACGGACUGAGAACGGCUUCUUUGGGGGCCUUCCCCAGGCAUCAAAAAAUCGACUCAUAACUGGUCAAAGCGGAAUCCGACUGUUUAAUUAAAACAAAGCAUUGCGAUGGUCCUUGCGGAUGCUAACGCAAUGUGAUUUCUACCCAGUGCAAUGAAUGUCAAAGUGAAGAAAUUCAACAAAGCGUGGGUAAACAACAGGAGUAACUAUGACUCUCUUAAAGUAGCCAAAUGCCUCGUCAUCUAAUUAGUGACGCACAUGAAAGGAUUAACAAGAUUCCCACUAACCUUGUCUACUAUCCAGCGAAACAACAGCCAAGGGAACAGGCUUGGCAGAAUCAACGGGGAAAGAAGAGCUUGUUGAGCUUGACUAUAGUCUGACUCUGUGAAAUGACUUGAGAGGUGUAGGAUAAGUGGGAGCCAGAAACGGCAAAAGUGAAAUAACACUACUUUUAACGGAAGCGUGGCAACGCCCCUCGUUUGAUCUUGAUUUCCAGUACGAAUACAAACAGUGAAAGCGUGGCCUAUUAAUCUAUUAGACCUUCAAAAUUUGAAGCUAGAGGUGUCAGAAAAGUUACCACAAGGAUAACUGGCAUGUGGCAGCCAAGCGUUCAUAGCGACGUUGUUUUUUGAUCCUUCGAUGUUGGCUCUUCCUAUCAUUGUGAAGCAGAAUUCACCAAGUGUUGGAUUGUUCACCCACCAAUAGGGAACGUGAGCUGGGUUUAGACAGUCAUGAGACGGGUUAGUUUUACCCUACUGAUGACAGCGUCACAAUAGUAAUUCAACCUAGUAUGAGAGGAACCAUUGAUUCUCAUAAUUGGUCAUCGCGCUUGGUUAAAAAGCCAGUGGCGCAAAGCUACCAUGCGUUGGAUUAUGACUGAACGUCUCUAAGUCAUAAUCUGGGCUAGAAGCGACGCACGCACCUGCCGCCCGAUCGCCGACCAGCAGUAGGGGCCCUCGGCCCCCAAGGGCACGCGUCGUUGGACAAGCCCUCGCAACUGAGCUGUUGCGCGGGCAACCUUGAAGUGUUAUUUCAACCGAGC
rnacentral:rRNA from 1 species